CUUCAGACGAAAUCCUUGGGACAGGCAAAACCAGGGGCAGGAUGUGAGAAACAGCCUCAGUCAUAGGCAACAGGGAAAAUGAUUAAUCUUGAACAAGGCAUUGACUGUGCAACUCCUCCACAAGAUAAAGAAUCAACAGGAAAGCCUAACACGACUUUCCAGUAACUGCCAAGUGUCCGAGAUGCAACAGCCCUGGUUGAGGCUUUGAAAGACAGUGAGCUGUGCCCGUGCCCCAUGCAGCUGUCUGGACAGCUUCCAAUCUGAGAGCUCUGUGUUCAUUUCUACCUUUGUGUUGAUUUAAUUUACAACCUGGGGCAAAUCUCCUGAGCUCAUUUCCUUGUCUAUUAAAUACAAGGUGUCUGAGACAUCUCCCAUGGAUUUGAGAAGGCUGUUGAGAAAACUACAGAGCAAACUUCUUUACUCUGCCUACAGCAAGCUCUGCAGGAUGGAUUUCAGUGUUCAGCGUCCCUGGACAUCUGCCUCUAAAACAAAUCUGCACCACAACGGAGGUGGCAUCAGUCAACACAAAGGGCUCAGAGAUCACAGCUGCCUUUGGGGAGAAUGACAAAAACUGUUCAGGGUUCCUGGGUAAUACGUAUCCAGUUUCUGCGCAUUCAGGGGAAGAGGAGCGUGGAGCAGAAGGAGAGUGGGAACAUGCAAGUCACUCUGAUGCCAUCAUUUAACUUUACAGCUCCGUUGUGCAAAGCUGAGAAAGGUUGGGGUGAAACUCUCCACUCCUGGUUUCAUACCAUUUGAAGUUCAGACCAGUGAGAUUUCCAUCAGUUGGGAGUUGAAGAUGCCACAAGGACAAGAACUGAGGAUGGUUUGCUCAGAGCUGAUUUUUAGACACCAUUUUCCAGGGAUCCCUGGUGACAGAGGAGCAUUUUUUUGUGGUUGAGUUCUGAAUUAAAAAGUUUCCUACUAUA
rnacentral:lncRNA from 1 species